rnacentral:rRNA from 1 species
UACGUAGGGCGCAAGCGUUGUCCGGAAUUAUUGGGCGUAAAGAGCUCGUAGGCGGCCAGUUGCGUCCGCUGUGAAAUCCCGGGGCUUAACCCCGGGCGUGCAGUGGAUACGGGCUGGCUAGAGGCAGGCAGGGGAGAACGGAAUUCCCGGUGUAGCGGUGAAAUGCGCAGAUAUCGGAAGGAACAUCAGUGGCGAAAGCGGCUUCCUGGUCCAGCACCGACGUUCAGGCACGAAAGCGUGGGGAGCAAACAGG